rnacentral:rRNA from 1 species
UACGUAGGGUGCAAGCGUUGUCCGGAAUUAUUGGGCGUAAAGAGCUCGUAGGCGGCUUGUCGCGUCGGCUGUGAAAACCUGGGGCUCAACCCCGGGCCUGCAGCCGAUACGGGCAAGCUAGAAUUCGGUAGGGGAGACGUGGAAUUCCUGGUGUAGCGGUGAAAUGCGCAGAUAUCAGGAGGAACACCGGUGGCGAAGGCGGGUCUCUGGGC